CUCCUGGACACCAAGGGCUACGGCAUUGGCAUGCCUCUGGGCUCUCCCUUUAGAGAUGAGAUCAGUCUGGCUGUUCUACAGCUGCAGGAGAAUAACAGGCUGGAGAUUUUGAAGCAAAGGUGGUGGGAAGGAGGGCAGUGCCCCAAAGAAGAGGAUCACAGAGCCAAAGGUCUGGGAAUGGAGAAUAUUGGUGGGAUCUUUGUGGUAUUGAUCUGUGGAUUGAUCAUCUCAGUGUUUGUGGCGUUGAUGGAGUUCGUG